rnacentral:misc_RNA from 1 species
UUUCCGUAGGUGAACCUGCGGAAGGAUCAUUACAAAACUACGUACGCCGUCCCUUCGGGGUCGUGUGUUCCUGUUUACACCCUUUGCCUAUGUGUACCCUUUAUCGCUUCCUCGGCGGGCUCGCCCGCCGCCAGGAACCACACCAACCCUUUGCAUCUAUACAUGAAAACUUCUGAUACCAAACGUAAAUUAAUUACAACUUUCAACAAUGGAUCUCUUGGUUCUGGCAUCGAUGAAGAACGCAGC